UACGUAGGGGGCAAGCGUUGUCCGGAAUCAUUGGGCGUAAAGAGCGUGUAGGCGGCCCGGUAAGUCCGCUGUGAAAGUCGGGGGCUCAACCCUCGAAUGCCGGCGGAUACUGUCGGGCUAGAGUCCGGAAGAGGCGAGUGGAAUUCCCGGUGUAGCGGUGAAAUGCGCAGAUAUCGGGAGGAACACCAGUGGCGAAGGCGACUUUCUGGUCUGUAACUGACACUGAGGCGCGAAAGCGUGGGGAGCAAACAGG
rnacentral:rRNA from 1 species